rnacentral:misc_RNA from 1 species
UACGUAGGUGGCAAACGUUGUCCGGAUUCAUUGGGCGUAAAGAGCUCGUAGGCGGUUCGAUAAGUCGGGUGUGAAACCUCCAGGCUCAACCUGGAGACGCCACCCGAUACUGUCGUGACUAGAGUCCAGUAGGGGAGCGUGGAAUUCCUGGUGUAGCGGUGAAAUGCGCAGAUACCAGGAGGAACACCAGCGGCGAAGGCGGCGCUCUGGGCUGGCACUGACGCUGAGGAGCGAAAGCGUGGGGAGCAAACAGG